rnacentral:rRNA from 1 species
ACCUGAGCUCAGGCAAGAUUACCCGCUGAACUUAAGCAUAUCAAUAAGCGGAGGAAAAGAAACUAACAAGGAUUGCCCUAGUAACGGCGAGCGAACCGGCAAGAGCCCAACUUGAAAAUCUCCCUCUGGAGAAUUGUAGUC